rnacentral:rRNA from 1 species
AGAGUUUGAUCAUGGCUCAGAACGUACGCUGGCGGCACGCCUAACACAUGCAAGUCGAACGAAGUAGCAAUACUUAGUGGCAGACGGGUGAGUAACAUGUAGGUAUCUACCCUUUGGCCUGGAAUAACACGAGGAAACUUGUGCUAAUACCGGAUAAGUCUUUACGGAGAAAGCUUUAUGCACCAUUGGAUGAGCCUGCACUUGAUUAGUUUGUUGGUGGGGUAAUGGCCUACCAAGACUGUGAUCAAUAGCUGAUUUGAGAGGAUGAUCAGCCACAUUGGGACUGAGACACGGCCCAAACUCCUACGGGAGGCAGCAGUGGGGAAUCUUGCACAAUGGAGGAAACUCUGAUGCAGCGAUGCCGCGUGAGUGAAGAAGGCCUUUGGGUUGUAAAGCUCUUUCGUCGGGGAAGAAAAUGACUGUACCCGAAUAAGAAGGUCCGGCUAACUUCGUGCCAGCAGCCGCGGUAAUACGAAGGGACCUAGCGUAGUUCGGAAUUACUGGGCUUAAAGAGUUCGUAGGUGGUUGAAAAAGUUGGUGGUGAAAUCCCAGAGCUUAACUCUGGAACUGCCAUCAAAACUUUUCAGCUAGAGUUUGAUAGAGGAAAGCAGAAUUUCUAGUGUAGAGGUGAAAUUCGUAGAUAUUAGAAAGAAUACCAAUUGCGAAGGCAGCUUUCUGGAUCAUUACUGACACUGAGGAACGAAAGCAUGGGUAGCGAAGAGGAUUAGAUACCCUCGUAGUCCAUGCCGUAAACGAUGUGUGUUAGACGUUGGAAAUUUAUUUUCAGUGUCGCAGCGAAAGCGAUAAACACACCGCCUGGGGAGUACGACCGCAAGGUUAAAACUCAAAUGAAUUGACGGGGACCCGCACAAGUAGUGGAGCAUGUGGUUUAAUUCGAAGAUACGCGCAGAACCUUACCAACACUUGACAUGUUCGUCGCGACUUUAAGAGAUUAAAGUUUUCGGUUCGGCCGGACGAAACACAGGUGCUGCAUGGCUGUCGUCAGCUCGUGUCGUGAGAUGUUGGGUUAAGUCCCGCAACGAGCGCAACCCUCACUUUUAGUUGCCAUCAUUAAGUUGGGCACUCUGAAAGAACUGCCAGUGAUAAGCUGGAGGAAGGUGGGGAUGACGUCAAGUCCUCAUGGCCCUUACGUGUUGGGCUACACACGUGCUACAAUGGUAUCUACAACAGGAAGCGAGACGGCGACGUUAAGCAAAUCCUUAAAAGAUACCUCAGUUCGGAUUGCACUCUGCAACUCGAGUGCAUGAAGCUGGAAUUACUAGUAAUCGUGGAUCAGCGUGCCACGGUGAAUGCGUUCCCGGGUCUUGUACACACCGCCCGUCACACCAUGGGAGUUGGUUCUACCUUAAGGCAAGGCUUUAAACCCUUGACCACGGUAUAGUCAGCGACUGGGGUGAAGUCGUAACAAGGUAGCCGUA